UACGGAGGGUGCAAGCGUUAUCCGGAUUCACUGGGUUUAAAGGGUGCGUAGGUGGGUUGAUAAGUCAGUGGUGAAAUCCCCGAGCUUAACUUGGGAACUGCCAUUGAUACUAUUGAUCUUGAAUACCGUGGAGGUCAGCGGAAUAUGUCAUGUAGCGGCGAAAUGCUUAGAUAUGACAUAGAACACCAAUUGCGGAGGCAGCUGGCUACGCGAAUAUUGACACUGAUGCACGAAAGCGUGGGGAUCAAACAGG
rnacentral:rRNA from 1 species